GACGAACGCUGGCGGCGUGCCUAAUACAUGCAAGUAGAACGCUGAAGGAGGAGCUUGCUUCUCCGGAUGAGUUGCGAACGGGUGAGUAACGCGUAGGUAACCUGCCUGGUAGCGGGGGAUAACUAUUGGAAACGAUAGCUAAUACCGCAUAAGAGUAGAUGUCGCAUGACAUUUGCUUAAAAGGUGCAACUGCACCACUACCAGAUGGACCUGCGUUGUAUUAGCUAGUUGGUGAGGUAACGGCUCACCAAGGCAACGAUACAUAGCCGACCUGAGAGGGGGAUCGGCCACACUGGGACUGAGACACGGCCCAGACUCCUACGGGAGGCAGCAGUAGGGAAACUUCGGCAAUGGACGGAAGUCUGACCGAGCAACGCCGCGGGAGUGAAGAAGGUUUUCGGAUCGUAAAGCUCUGUUGUAAGAGAAGAACGAGUGUGAGAAUGAAAAGUUCACACUGUGACGGUAUCUAACCAGAAAGGGACGGCUAACUACGUG
rnacentral:rRNA from 1 species